CAUGCCAGUCCCUCAGUAAGUCUUUGUAUUUUCUUUCUUGCUUGUUCCUGGAGAAGCUUUGCUUUUUGUCCAGGUGUCUCGUGUGAACUUCUAACCUGACAAGAUGCUCUGGAGAAGCUCUGCUCCGUGCCAUGGUGUCUCCAGUGGUCCGCUAACCUGACUAGCCGCACUGACUCCAGUACCACCUCCUCCAGUCCAAUAACAGACUUUGGUUUCCCCUUCCAGCACUCGUUACCUUCAAUAAACUGUCUAAACGUGCUCUCUGUGUGUGUGUGCUCAACCCGGGUUCAGAAGACAAAUCCUGACAUAUGGUCCUUGUAAUUUGGGCUGUUCUUAAAGAGACAAUAGCAUGCUUUUUUUCAGUUAAAGCCCAAAGUACAAACCAGAGGGAGGAGCACUGAGCUUGUCAAUAGGGGAAUCAAAAGGAGCGCUAACAUUGUUACAGACUGUGGAUGAAUUGAGAUGAAUGAGUUUUGGAAUAUAAAGCAUGUAAAUGUAUCCUAGUAGACCCCACUGAUUUUGUUUCAUUUUACAGGUUCUUGGACGGACAACCCUGCAGGUUAAACAAAUCCGACAAGGCCUGAAAGACACGGGUGUCUGGGAGUUUUUUAGCUCCAGGCCAGAUGCUGUGGAAGUCCUAUUCACAAGGGCCUGCAAUGCAGAGAUCACGCAAUAAAUGAUUUUGGACAAUAUUAACUGGCCAAGGGAUGAGGACAUCAAUGAGGACAUCGUCAGCCUGGAGGACCAUUGCAGAGUAAUGUCCCUCCUCCGUAAAUGUAUAGAGGAUGGUACUCCGGAAGUCCUGAAGACGUUGCUCACAUUCUGGACUGGCUGGGGUGUUGUUUCCUCAAACUUGGAGGUGGAAAUCAUCGAUUGUGCCCUACCACAGUCAUUAACUUGUUUUUUGACUCUAAAGCUGUCAAAGAAUACUAUGAACUAUGAAGACUUUGUUCAUGACCUGAUGGCAAGCAUAUCCUCCUCCUACUCUGGAUUUGGUCAGAUUUGAGCACUGACAGAGACAAAGGUUCAGAUCUCAUUUAGUUGUAUCUGUUCAGAAGCA